rnacentral:rRNA from 1 species
CAGUAGCCGCGGGAAUACGUAGGUGGCAAGCGUUGUCCGGAAUUAUUGGGCGUAAAGCGCGCGCAGGUGGUUUAAUAAGUCUGAUGUGAAAGCCCACGGCUCAACCGUGGAGGGUCAUUGGAAACUGUUAAACUUGAGUGCAGGAGAGAAAAGUGGAAUUCCUAGUGUAGCGGUGAAAUGCGUAGAGAUUAGGAGGAACACCAGUGGCGAAGGCGGCUUUUUGGCCUGUAACUGACACUGAGGCGCGAAAGCGUGGGGAGCAAACAGGAUUAGAUACCCCAGUAGUCCCUGUCUCUUAUAC